AACGAACGCUGGCGGCAGGCUUAACACAUGCAAGUCGAACGGGCGUAGCAAUACGUCAGUGGCAGACGGGUGAGUAACACGUGGGAACCUUCCUCGUAGUACGGAACAACUCAGGGAAACUUGAGCUAAUACCGUAUACGUCCGAGUGGAGCAAGAUUUAUCGCUAUGAGACGGGCCCGCGUCCGAUUAGGUAGUUGGUGGGGUAACGGCCUACCAAGCCGACGAUCGGUAGCUGAUCUGAGAGGAUGAUCAGCCACACUGGGACUAAGACACGGCCCAGACUCCUACGGGAGGCAGCAGUGGGGAAUCUUGGACAAUGGGCGCAAGCCUGAUCCAGCCAUGCCGCGUGAGUGAAGAAGGCCUUAGGGUUGUAAAGCUCUUUUGCCAGGGACGAUAAUGACGGUACCUGGAGAAUAAGCCCCGGCAAACUUCGUGCCAGCCGCCGCGGUAACAC
rnacentral:rRNA from 1 species